GUGGAAAAAACAGAGGAGCACAUUUUCCACCUCGUUCUACUUGACCCAGCAGACCGAGCUGAGCUCCAGGAGUGACACACAUCUGAAAUGAGCUGUGAGGUGCAGCCGUGCUCUCCCUAGCACUCAGGAAGCCCAGUGCUGGGGCACAGCUGUGGGACAGGAGCUGACGCCCGUGCCCGGCUGAUGAAGCGAAGGGACCGUGUGCUGCUGGCUCUGAAGUGAAAACAAUCACUCUGAAAUCUCAGAGCUUCCUUAGAAAUGUAAAAGAAUGGGGUGGGAGCAUAAGUUAAUUGUGCUUUUUCACACUGUUAUGCUUGUCACCGUGCCAGACUCUACAUUUCUUCCAAGGGUGAAA